rnacentral:rRNA from 1 species
GACGAACGCUGGCGGCGUGCCUAAUACAUGCAAGUAGAACGCUGAAGAGAGGAGCUUGCUCUUCUUGGAUGAGUUGCGAACGGGUGAGUAACGCGUAGGUAACCUGCCUGGUAGCGGGGGAUAACUAUUGGAAACGAUAGCUAAUACCGCAUGAUAUUAAUUGUCGCAUGAUAAUUAAUUGAAAGAUGCAAUUGCAUCACUACCAGAUGGACCUGCGUUGUAUUAGCUAGUUGGUGAGGUAACGGCUCACCAAGGCGACGAUACAUAGCCGACCUGAGAGGGUGAUCGGCCACACUGGGACUGAGACACGGCCCAGACUCCUACGGGAGGCAGCAGUAGGGAAUCUUCGGCAAUGGGGGGAACCCUGACCGAGCAACGCCGCGUGAGUGAAGAAGGUUUUCGGAUCGUAAAGCUCUGUUGUAAGAGAAGAACGGGUGUGAGAGUGGAAAGUUCACACUGUGACGGUAUCUACCAGAAAGACGCA